UCUGUCUUCUAGCCUCUACCAACUGACAAGUCUCAGUCACCAGGCCUUGACUCUCUAAGCUCAUAGAAAGAACCCAGAAUCCCAAGCGGCAGGAGCACUGGGGGACACCCGGGCGGAACCUUCCCUGGAGCAAGUACUGCAGGAGAGGGAUGAAGCCAUUGCUAAGAAGCGCGCGGUGGAAGAGGAGCUGGACUCCUGUCGAGCCAGGCUGCGCACAGUGGAGGCUCAGCUGCUGGAGGUCCUGCAGGAGAAACUGAAGCUGAAACAGGAGGUGGAGGCCUGGGAGGUAGGGUGGAGCCUCUGAGUCGGGAGUCUUGGAAGACGCCCCUCCGCCCCUCCGUCCCCAGGGAUUGCCUCGGACCUGCUCUCUCUCCCGUGCCCAGGAAGACAUGCAGCAUAUGGUUCGAGAGCGGGUGCGGAGUCAGCUGCAGGGAGAGCCCAGAGGCACCCUGGGAACACACGAGAACACAAGCCCGGGCAGAAGUUCCUGGAUUCAACUCUCCCGGGGUCAGUGGGGGCGACGGUGGUGAAAACGGAUCCAGGGCUUAAAGGGGAACUGUCUUUAUUCAUUAAAAGUGUUGGGCCACUUCUGUA
ensembl:antisense Abhd11os abhydrolase domain containing 11, opposite strand